rnacentral:lncRNA from 1 species
UCUUGUCAUCAAGAGAGGUUAUAAACUGAAAAGUGAUACACUUAGUUUUAACCAGCACGAUGUAGGUGUACUAGCUUAAGAAGGUUAGUUAGUUUGUUUUGUUCUAUAUAUCACCCGAAAAGAGAUAAAAUAUGUUUUAUCAUUAUAGCUUACUCUCUUUUACUUUAAAAAAAAUACUAUUCAAUGGACGCACUUCUAAAUGACUAUACCACGUCAGUGUGAAUUGCAAAUGAGACAAAUCCAACAAUCAGAUAUAAACAUGAAUGUCCACGGAUUGCGUAUGUUAUCCAACUCCAUGACGCAGGACAAUUUUUAAUAGAAAACAUUAUUUAAAAAAAUAACAAAAAGAAAAAAAGAAUGGAUGUCUUCUAUAGUAUAUGCUAUUAUCAACCAUAACUUUAUAGAGAUG